AUACAAUAUCGGUAAUAUUGAAGCGCAGUGCAUAUCCAUGCAAUGGUGACGAACAGUAGGCAGCCAGCUAGCAGUGCAGUGGCCUCCAUCUGAAGUUCAGUUGGUGUAUGCCGAUAGAUUAAUGUACAGUAAAUCACCAGAGGAUUUGUUCCUCAUCAAGGUGUUCAGUGUUUCUUCACCCUUGAAGUUCGGUCGGGCUCCCACAAAUUCUACUGAGCAAGGCAGCUAGACGACCGAAGUACGAUUCAAGUAACCACUUGGUGGGUGAAUGGUGGAAGCAGUUGCUGUGAUGAGCUACCCUUUCCUGUUGAAGUCAGUUUGAAGCAAGUCACGAUGUUACAAGUCCUGUUAGCAGGGUUGCGAUCCUACGCACCGUGGGUCACCCUUCCUGUCGCAAUAGUGGUCGGGGCCGUAGGAUUCACAGUGGAGCGGACAAUACAUGGGGGUAAAGCCAAACCUGUACGCCUCAAGACCGUGACCGAGGAACGAGAUGAACGACAACUGGCAGAGUCUGUCAAUCAAGAUUGCACCAAUGUGGCAAGCCUGAAGGAGAAAAAGGGCAUCCCCAAGUCUUCCUUGGAGAGAAAUGAAAUCAGUAGAUAAUGGAUCUAUCUCGGAAGCUUUCUGCAAUAUUGUCCACAAUGCCAAUUCAUUGAGAUUGACAAUGCAUUAAACACUCAAGAGAACUUGGAAUUAUCAUAUAUUAUGAUGAAUUGAAAGUAAUAUGAGCAUAUUAGUAUAUUUGAUAUUCUGACUAUCUUUAAUUUUGCUUGUGCCUUCAGCAUUAGCUGGCAUUUUGUUGUUAAAGAGUGAUGGAGUGAUAAAGGGACAAAUUGGCGUUAGAGUAGAAUACACACUAAACUUUUUUAGGUCGAAUUACUUGUUUACCUAACCUAGUCCUCCAGGUGACCUCCUGUCAAGUAAAUUAGUCAAAGGACACACUUAAUUGAGUCAAAAUGGCGCACAUAAGUGAGUCAAAUGAUGUAUUGAAUAGCUAUUGUUUGUCCUAUGAUACACUUAUGUGCAUAACAAAUUAUUUGUUUCAUGUUUUAUAUAAACAUGUCUUGGAACAAAUGGGCCUCUAUUCUGAAGUUGGAUUUCAUUUAAACUCUGGUCUAAAGUUAUGGUGUAACUAUGGAUAGCCGAUUGUGAAAUAAAUCUUGAAAGGUACAGGACUACAGGUUCAAUUAUUCAACAUUUGUAACGGAAUUUCAUUGAUUUGUCUGUAUUAUCGAUUAUAUUGAAUAUGUAUUGUUAGUGUUACUUUGAUUAUAUCUUGAAAAAAAUUGUUGAACGGAAAUAAAUAAAUCUAAAUCUAAAUCAAUUUAUCUGCUCACUUGACACUCAAAUCAUAAUAACCAUCUAUGAUUAAUGACUAAAACAGUUUCUUCAUCAUUGAAGCAGGAUGAAAAAGCAUGGUAAACCUUAGAAAGAGACAUUGUAAACAAAAGUUUGACAUUUUCUGCUUCCCAUACCUUUAGCCCAGAGUUAGUCCAUGGCUUAAUUUAAACCAAACUUCAGAAUACGGGCCAUCAAGACUAAUUGAGUAUCUAAUUCAACUCUUUUUCUUUGGUGUAAUUUGUUUUGUAUCAUUCAUAACGAGGUUCACUUUGGGGAGAAAUUAUAACUCAAUGUGAGUCACUUGAACUGGAAAAUGUCCUCUGAGUUGCAGGCUGUUGUUGCCAAAAGCAUUGAUAUGUACUGCAGCCAACCUUGAAUUUUAAUAAAGGACUCUAGUCUAGACACAAGCACCCAACAAACCUCAAUUUAUUUUUGAUAAUAUUGUCAUUUGGACUUUGGAGUUGCCUGUCUGGACAAAAUUGUGACUGAAAUGCAUGUAUCAGAUGCCAAUGCUCAAACAGAGCUAAGUGAUCUCGGUCAUUUGGUUGGCCCAAAGGUUGCAUGGGUUAUUGCACAUUGAAGUUAAAGGCAACAUAGGCCACUAGAUACUCAAUUUUUUUUUGUUUUCUAAAUCAAAACCAUUUGUCAAAUCAACUUCAGUAGGACUUUGUAUGCAUAUAUUUGGGUGAUGUAUUAAGGUUAUUAAUACUACUGUCUUGCCUGCAUAGCAGAAUCAAGAUAGUUUUUUUUCUGACAGUGGAUGGAGGCAAUAUCAUCAAUAUUGAAAUCCUAACUAAGGCUAAGCUUUUGAAGUAUCAUCUUAACCUUGAAAAUAUAAGAAUAUGUUUCAUGAAAUUCGGAGUUUGAACAUAGAUUUUUCAAGAUCAUUUUUGUCUCAACUGCAUAGCAGAGUGAGACUAUACUAGUUGGCCCCGCUUUUCCGAUGGCGACGGCGGCGGCGGCAUCAACACCAAAUCUUAACCGAAGGUUAAGUUUUUGAAAUGACAGCAUAACUUAGAAAGUAUAUAGACCUAGUUCAUGAAACUUGGUCAUAAGGUUAAUCAAGUAUUACUUAAUAUCCUGCCUGAGUUUCAUGUCACAUGACCAAGGUCAAAGGUCAUUUAGGGUCAAUGAGCUUGGACCAUGGUGGGGGAAUCAACAUCAAAAUGUUAACCUAAGGUUAAGGUUAAAUGUCAUCAUAAUGGACCUAGUUCAUGAAACUUAGACAUAAGGUUAAUCAAGUAUUACUGAACAUCCUGCUUGAGUUUCGCGUCACUUGACCAAGGUCAUUUAAAGUCAAUGAACUUUGGCCAAAUUGGGGGUACUAUUUGUUGAAUUACCAUCAUAACUUUGAAAGUUUAUUGGUCUAGUUCAUAAAACUUGGACAUAAGAGUAAUCAAGUAUCUUCGAACAUCCCGUCUGAAUUUCAGGUCACAUGACCAAGGUCAAUGAACUUUUGCUAUGUGGGGGGUAUCUGUUGAAUUACCAUCAUAACUUUGAAAGUUUAUGGAUCUGAUUCAUGAAACUUGGACAUAAGAGUAAUCAGGUAUCUUUGAACAUCCUGUCUGAAUUUCAGGUCACAUGACCAAGGUCAGAGGUCAUUUAAGGACAAUGAACUUUAGCCAUAUGGGGGGUAUUUGUUGAAUUACCAUCAUAUCUCUGUAAGUGUAUUGGUCUAGUUCAUAAAACGUGGACAUAAGAGUAACCAAGUAUCACUGAACAUCUUGUGCGAGUUUCAGGUUACAUGACCAAGGUCAAAGGUCAAUGGACUUGGCCAUGUUGGGGGUAUUUGUUGAAUUACCAUCAUAACUCUGUAAGUAUAUUGGUUUAGUUCAUAAAACUUGGACAUAAGAGUCAUUAAGUAUCACUGAACAUCUCAUGCAAGUUUCAGGUCACAUGACCAAAGUCGAAGGUCAUUUAAGGUCAUUGAACUUUGGCCAUUGUAGUGGUAAUUAUUAGAUUGCUGUCAUACCUUUCAAAGUUUAUAGAUAGAGUGUAUAAAAUGUGGAUAUAAGGGUAAUCAAUUAUCACUGACAAGUUUUAGGUCACUUGAUCAAGGUCAAAUGUCAAUGAACGUAGUAUUGUAUCAUUAUAUGAAUGGUGUUUUUUGUGAAUAAUUAUUUUAUAGUAGUUUUCAAAGUCAGCACUGCUGCUAUAUUGAAUCGCAUGAUGCAGGUGAGACUGCCAGAGGCAUUUCACUUGUUAAAGUUUAAGUCCGUAUUCCAUAAAAAGUAUCAGCAAAUGGAUGAGUGUAAUUUCAGGACUCCUGAUGCCUAAGUCAAGGGUAAUUAUGGGGCCGGUACGCUGGUAUCGACUUCAAAAACGGAACCAAUUCUAAGAUUUUGAAUUUUCAAGAUAAUUUUGAAAUCUGAAGUCCUUAUGGAUAUAAAGGUCAUCAGAUACCACCCAUCAUAUGAGUAUGCUGUUAGGUUACUAAGUCAAAGUCAAAGGUUACUUCAGAUCAAUUAACUGAUAAAAAUGUUUUGUUUUCGAAAGCAUUUAAUCAAAAUAAGUGAAACUUAUGUGAGUUGGUUAUUGGAUAUUGUAAAUGAUAUAAAAUGAAUAAUGUGUUUCCUAGCCAAUGUCACUUUAUCCAAUAAAUGAUUUGUCUCUUAUUUUUAAAAAUUA